CACGUAGGGGGCGAGCGUUGUCCGGAUUUAUUGGGCGUAAAGAGCUCGUAGGCGGCUCGGUAAGUCAGGUGUGAAAACUCUAGGCUCAACCUAGAGACGCCACCUGAUACUGCCGUGGCUAGAGUCCGGUAGGGGAGCAUGGAAUUCCUGGUGUAGCGGUGAAAUGCGUAGAGAUCAGCAGGAAUACCCGUGGCGAAGGCGGCCCCCUGGGCCGAACCUGACGCUGAGGCGCGAAGGCUAGGGGAGCGAACGGG
rnacentral:rRNA from 1 species